rnacentral:rRNA from 1 species
UACGUAGGGUGCGAGCGUUAAUCGGAAUUAUUGGGCGUAAAGCCGUGCGCCAGGCGGUUCGUUGUGUCGGUGGUGAAAUCCCGGGCUUAACCUGGGAAUGGCCAUGGAAACUGGCGAACUGGAGUGCGGCAGAGGGGUGGAAUUCCGCGUGUAGCAGUGAAUGCGUAGAGAUGCGGAGGAACACCGAUGGCGAAGGCAGCCCCUGGGCCUGCACUGACGCUCAUGCACG